AUAAAGAGCAAAACGGUUGAAAAGCCGUGACGCAAAGCCAAAUGGGACUAAAGUCAGAGAAAUUGACCAUGUCAGCCGGUUGCCA
rnacentral:ncRNA from 1 species